UGACCACCUUCCUUUGGAGAGUUAAGGCAACGGUGUGCCGGGUCAAAUGCCGA
rnacentral:sRNA from 12 species